rnacentral:rRNA from 1 species
UACAGAGGUCCCGAGCGUUGUUCGGAUUUACUGGGCGUAAAGGGUGCGUAGGUGGUCGGGUAAGUCUGACGUGAAAUCUUCAAGCUUAACUUGGAAACUGCGUCGGAUACUAUUCGGCUAGAGGAAUGGAGGGGAGACUGGAAUACUUGGUGUAGCAGUGAAAUGCGUAGAUAUCAAGUGGAACACCAGUGGCGAAGGCGAGUCUCUGGACAUUUCCUGACGCUGAGGCACGAAAGCCAGGGGAGCAAACGGG